rnacentral:ncRNA from 1 species
UAAAGCCACUUUAUAUAUAGCUUAGUUUGUCGAUAUCAGGCAUAAUGCCCUACAACGUAGCGGUGUCUCAUGAUUGAGAAAUAUUGUCUUUCUAUAUUCAAUAGAAAAGAUUCUUCUCCAUCAUGCGACACUUUUAUCGCUAUCCCGAAUUUUAUGAGGGAAUGGGACUCUUCACCGAGGUUGUAAAAUGAGACAAACGAUUUUAGCUGUAU